rnacentral:rRNA from 1 species
GAUGAACGCUAGCUACAGGCUUAACACAUGCAAGUCGAGGGGAAACGACAUCGAAAGCUUGCUUUUGAUGGGCGUCGACCGGCGCACGGGUGAGUAACGCGUAUCCAACCUGCCCACCACUUGGGGAUAACCUUGCGAAAGUAAGACUAAUACCCAAUGAUAUCUCUAGAAGACAUCUGAAAGAGAUUAAAGAUUUAUCGGUGAUGGAUGGGGAUGCGUCUGAUUAGCUUGUUGGCGGGGUAACGGCCCACCAAGGCAACGAUCAGUAGGGGUUCUGAGAGGAAGGUCCCCCACAUUGGAACUGAGACACGGUCCAAACGCCUACGGGAGGCAGCAGUGAGGAAUAUUGGUCAAUGGACGAGAGUCUGAACCAGCCAAGUAGCGUGCAGGAAGACGGCCCUAUGGGUUGUAAACUGCUUUUAUAAGGGAAUAAAGUGAGUCUCGUGAGACUUUUUGCAUGUACCUUAUGAAUAAGGACCGGCUAAUUCCGUG